CGAAUAGUUUUAGCGACUCCAUAGUCCAAAGGUGUUUCGUCCGGUUAGAAGAAGUAGUAUUAGUAGUAGUUAUAGAGCGGUUUGGUUCGAUGACAGCCGUGGAUUUGUGUGCUCGUCCGGGGCAAGCAGUUUGCGGCUUUGUAACGUACGUCCGUCCAGUAAAAGAAACAAAAAAAAAAGGUUUGCAGUCGCAGGCGAUGCUUUGCAACUUGUGUGGAAGGUGAAGUAAAAAUACUCCACC
rnacentral:lncRNA from 1 species